UACAGAGGUCCCAAGCGUUGUUCGGAUUCACUGGGCGUAAAGGGCGCGUAGGCGGUCGGGUAAGUCUGAUGUGAAAUCUCACAGCUUAACUGUGAAACUGCAUUGGAUACUAUUCGGCUUGAGAGUUGGAGGGGGGACUGGAAUUCUUGGUGUAGCAGUGAAAUGCGUAGAUAUCAAGAGGAACACCAGUGGCGAAGGCGAGUCCCUGGACAACUUCUGACGCUGAGGCACGAAAGCUAGGGGAGCAAACAGG
rnacentral:rRNA from 1 species